GUGUGUGAAGAAGGCUUAGGGUUGUAAAGCACUUUUGUGUAGGAAGAAGGUAUGUUUGUUAAUAGCAGAUGUAUUUGACGGUACUACAAGAAUAAGCACCGGCUAACUCCGUGCCAGCAGCCGCGGUAAUACGGAGGGUGCGAGCGUUAAUCGGAAUUACUGGGCGUAAAGGGUACGUAGGCGGCUUGAUAAGUCAGAUGUGAAAUCCCCGGGCUUAACCUGGGAACUGCAUUUGAAACUGUCUGGCUAGAGUGAGUGAGAGGUUAGUGGAAUUCAAGGCGUAGCGGUGAAAUGCGUAGAGGUCUUGAGGAACAUCAGUGGCGAAGCGACUAACUGGCACUACACUGACGCUGAGGUACGAAAGCGUGGGGAGCGAACAGGAUUAGAUACCCUGGUAGUCCACGCCCUAAACGAUGA
rnacentral:rRNA from 1 species